GACAUUACGACAUACCAGAUCUUUUUAUUUGAUCCGAUCGAAUGUGCACGCUGAUCGAGUGCAACAACUGGCAAAAUGAAGAUGGCGGACGGACCUACGAUCCUCAGAAGAAAUAGGCCCGGAACAAAAGCAAAGGACUUCUGCAGGUGGCCAGAUGAACCAUUUGAAGAAAUGGACAGCACCCUGGCUGUGCAACAAUAUAUCCAACAGAUGAUUAGAAGAGAGCCAUCUAAUGUUGACUUGAUACUCAAAAUGCCGGAUGCACAAGAUGAAGCAGUAUGGAAAUAUGAACACCUCAGACAAUUUUGUAUGGAAUUGAAUGGUUUAACAGUUAGGCUACAAGAAGAAUGUCAUCCAGAAACUUGUACACAAAUGACAGCCACUGAACAAUGGAUAUUUUUGUGUGCUGCACACAAAACGCCCAAAGAAUGUCCAGCUAUUGAUUAUACACGGCAUACACUUGAUGGAGCAGCUUGUUUGCUUAACAGUAACAAAUACUUUCCUAGCAGAGUGAGUAUUAAGGAAUCUUCAGUUGCUAAACUUGGAUCUGUUAGUCGCAGGGUUUAUAGAAUCUUUUCUCAUGCAUAUUACCAUCAUAAAAUAAUAUUUGAUGAAUUUGAGCACGAGACAUUUUUAUGUCACAGGUUUACUGCAUUUGUAACAAAAUAUAGCUUGAUGUCGAAAGAUAGUUUGAUAGUACCGAUAAUGGAAGAAGAUGUAACAACAGAAAGUGAAGCCUAGGACCUGAAUGUUUAUGUAUAUUGCCCAAAGUUGAUUUGUCAGAUUUAGAGAGAUCAUUGGUAUUGCCGAAGUACUUCUUGACGCAGUUCCUAACGCGGCAAGAGUAUUGAAAGUUGUUCAAAGAAGUUACAUUUUUAUUGUCUGAAGUGUUAGAUGUAAGAGAAAUGAUUACAGUCCUGCCACAUUGUCGGGGCUCUCGCAUUUAAACAGAUAAAAUUGGGGAAUACAAGUACUCGUUGUUACUGUCACUGAAUACACGCAGUUAAAAGUAUUCUCCGAUCUUUUUACCGAGCAAAGCAAUAUUAAUGCCGGAUAAUUAUCCACGUCACUGCCGAAUACAUAAGCUCUAAAUAGAUAGCCUUCAUCAGCGAUUAAUGUAAAAUUAAAAGAAUCAAAUGUACUGUCAUAUCUACAGUCUUUUGUUUCGAUUAAAGAGAUUUUUGUAAGCUUGUAAGAAUUUGAUGCAAUGUUACUAAAGAGCGUUCAGAAAAUUGUAAAGUAUCCUGUCUCCCAGUUUCACCAAUGAUGGAUACAAAGAUGCAACCAAAACUUCUUAAACAGUUUAAUUUAUUUAACUUAUGUUAAGUAGCUCUAGAAUAAUAAAUAUUCAAAGGCUACUCAACACGGGUUGUUUAAUUUAAUUUACUGUUAUUGAAAUCGUAGUGUGCACUAUUACGGUUUGCAAAUGAAUUUUCACAGAAGGCACUUCGAUGAUCGUACUAUGUAUUACGUAUAGUUUUCGAUGUUCUUGCACGCUUAUUGGACCAUUGUAUAUAUGAUUUGUAAAUAAGAACUGAAAUAUGUACGUUCAUUAACGGAGAGACCGAGAUGACAGGAAUAUAUCGUUGUACGAUUACUUCUGUAACGAAUGUGUAUGUGUACCGACAAGGAAUAAACUUUCUACUUA